AAGUGUUGGAUUGUUCACC
rnacentral:snRNA from 1 species